rnacentral:rRNA from 1 species
GACGAACGCUGGCGGCGUGCUUAACACAUGCAAGUCGAACGGAAAGGCACUGCGUUUGUGGGGUGCUCGAUUGGCGAACGGGUGAGUAACACGUGAGUAACCUGCCCUUGACUUUGGGAUAACUUCAGGAAACUGGGGCUAAUACCGGAUAGGAGCUGCUGCUGCAUGGAGGGGGUUGGAAAGUCUCGGCGGUUGGGGAUGGACUCGCGGCUGAUGAGCUAGCUGGUGGGGUAGUGGCAGACCAAGGCUUUGACGGGUAGCCGGCCUGAGAGGGUGGCCGGCCUCAUUGGGACUGAGGUACGGCCCAGACGCCUACGUGAGGCAGCGGGCGGGAAUAUUGCACAACGGGCGGACGCCUGAUGCAGAGGCGCCGCGUGCGGGAUGACGGCCUUCGGGUUGUAAACCGCUGUCGCCUGUGACGAAGCGGGAGUGACGGUAAUGGGUAAAGAAGCACCGGCUAACUACGUG